AGGCUUUUAAGAUCGAGUUGCGGU
rnacentral:siRNA from 1 species